rnacentral:rRNA from 1 species
UACGUAGGGGGCAAGCGUUGUCCGGAAUUAUUGGGCGUAAAGCGCGCGCAGGCGGCUCUUUAAGUCUGGUGUAUAAGUGCGGGGCUCAACCCCGUGAGGCACUGGAAACUGGAGGGCUUGAGUGCAGAAGAGGAGAGCGGAAUUCCACGUGUAGCGGUGAAAUGCGUAGAGAUGUGGAGGAACACCAGUGGCGAAGGCGGCUCUCUGGACUGUAACUGACGCUGAGGCGCGAAAGCGUGGGGAGCAAACAGG